GACGAACGCUGGCGGCGUGCUUAACACAUGCAAGUCGAACGGAAAGGCCCUGCUUUUGUGGGGUGCUCGAGUGGCGAACGGGUGAGUAACACGUGAGUAACCUGCCCUUGACUUUGGGAUAACUUCAGGAAACUGGGGCUAAUACCGGAUAGGAGCUCCUGCUGCAUGGUGGGGGUUGGAAAGUUUCGGCGGUUGGGGAUGGACUCGCGGCUUAUCAGCUUGUUGGUGGGGUAGUGGCUUACCAAGGCUUUGACGGGUAGCCGGCCUGAGAGGGUGACCGGCAACAUUGGGACUGGGAUACGGCCCAGACUCCUACGGGAGGCAGCGGUGGGGAAUAUUGCACAAUGGGCGGAAGCCUGAUGCAGCAACGCCGCGUGCGGGAUGACGGCCUUCGGGUUGUAAACCGCUUUCGCCUGUGACGAAGCGUGAGUGACGGUAAUGGGUAAAGAAGCACCGGCUAACUACGUG
rnacentral:rRNA from 1 species